rnacentral:rRNA from 1 species
GACGAACGCUGGCGGCGUGCUUAACACAUGCAAGUCGAACGAUGAAGCGGUGCUUGCACCGUGGAUUAGUGGCGAACGGGUGAGUAAUACGUGAGUGACCUACCUUUGACUCUGGGAUAAGCCUGGGAAACUGGGUCUAAUACCGGAUACGACCAAUCUCUGCAUGGGGUGUUGGUGGAAAGCGUUAUGGAGUGGUUUUAGAUGGGCUCACGGCCUAUCAGCUCGUUGGUGAGGUAAUGGCUUACCAAGGCGACGACGGGUAGCCGGCCUGAGAGGGUGACCGGCCACACUGGGACUGAGACACGGCCCAGACUCCUACGGGAGGCAGCAGUGGGGAAUAUUGCACAAUGGGCGCAAGCCUGAUGCAGCGACGCCGCGUGAGGGAUGACGGCCUUCGGGUUGUAAACCUCUGUUAGCAUCGAAGAAGCGAAAGUGACGGUAGGUGCAGAGAAAGCGCCGGCUAACUACGUGC